AAUCACUACGGAAGUCCCUGUAAACCGUGCUGGCAGAACUGUGACCAAUGUAACGCUGUAGACGGGUCCUGUGUUUGUAAGAUUGGUUACACUGGAGAAAACUGUACAGAAGAGUGUUCAAAUAACACAUACGGUGCCAACUGUGUUUACCGAUGCGGACAAUGUUUCAAUGAAACUUGUGAUCACGUGACUGGAAAUUGCUUAUUUGGCUGUGCGAAAGGAUGGACAACAACUCAAUGUAAUCAACCAUGCAGCACCGGCUGGUACGGGAAUAACUGCUCUCUAAAAUGUAGUAAUUACUGCAUCACACCGAACUCAUUCGACCGAGUUUCUGGAUCUUGCUAUGGAGGAUGCGCUGCUGGGUUGAUUAACGACACAUG